rnacentral:rRNA from 1 species
GCCUAACACAUGCAAGCCGAGCGGUAUUUGUCUUUCGGGACAGAGAGAGCGGCGUACGGGUGCGGAACACGUGUGCAACCUACCUUUAUCAGGGGGAUAGCCUUUCGAAAGGAAGAUUAAUACCCCAUAAUAUAUUGAUUGGCAUCAGUUAAUAUUGAAAACUCCGGUGGAUAGAGAUGGGCACGCGCAAGAUUAGAUAGUUGGUAGGGUAUCGGCCUACCAAGUCAGUGAUCUUUAGGGGGCCUGAGAGGGUGAUCCCCCACACUGGUACUGAGACACGGACCAGACUCCUACGGGAGGCAGCAGUGAGGAAUAUUGGACAAUGGGUGAGAGCCUGAUCCAGCCAUCCCGCGUGAAGGACGACGGCCCUAUGGGUUGUAAACUUCUUUUGUAUAGGGAUAAACCUUUCCACGCGUGGAAAGCUGAAGGUACUAUACGAAUAAGCACCGGCUAACUCCGUGCCAGCAGCCGCGGUAAUACGGAGGGUGCAAGCGUUAUCCGGAUUUAUUGGGUUUAAAGGGCCCGUAGGCGGAUCUGUAAGUCAGUGGUGAAAUCCCAUAGCUUAACUAUGAAACUGCCAUUGAUACUGCAGGUCUUGAGUAAAGUAGAAGUGGCUGGAAUAAGUAGUGUAGCGGUGAAAUGCAUAGAUAUUACUUAGAACACCAAUUGCGAAGGCAGGUCACUAUGUUUUAACUGACGCUGAUGGACGAAGCGUGGGGAGCGACAGGAUUAGAUACCUGGU